GAUAGAGGUCGCGGAAACGAUCAGUAUCCCAUGGCAACGCCGGCAAGCGGCUGUGGGAGAAAGGCAAUUCCGCCGAAGCCGUGCUGCGGUUGCCGCCGCAGCGCCGCUGGGAUCGCGCUUAAUAGGCGCGGGACUGUCACAUGGGUUCAUGUGGAGCGCUAUCA
rnacentral:ncRNA from 1 species